rnacentral:rRNA from 1 species
GGGGCAUGCGAGGGCUGUCGCUGACUCAAAGUCGUGCACGCCCGAGUGUGUCGCCUCACAUAAUAAUCCAUCUCACCCUUUGUGCAUCACCGCGUGGGCACCCCUUUGGGAUCAUCUCGGAGGGGGCUCGCGUUUUCACACAAAACCCCCCUUUUAAAAGUGUAGAAUGACCUCAUUUAUGCGCUAACCCGCAAUCAAUACAACUUUCAACAACGGAUCUCUUGGCUCUCGCAUCGAUGAAGAACGCAGCGAAAUGCGAUACGUAAUGUGAAUUGCAGAAUUCAGUGAAUCAUCGAAUCUUUGAACGCACCUUGCGCCCCCUGGUAUUCCGAGGGGCACACCCGUUUGAGUGUCGUGAAAACCUCAACCUCCUUGGUUUCUUCUGGAGACCAAAGCAGGCUUGGACUUUGGAGGCCUUUGCUGGCACCUCUCGCCAGCUCCUCUUAAAUGAAUUAGCAGGGUCCUCUUUGCUGAUCCUCGACGUGUGAUAAGAUGUUUCCAUGUCUUGGUUUCUGGCUCUGUCACCUUUGGGACCCGCUUCUAACCGUCUUCAACCUUGCGUUGAGACAACGUUCGAGCAUGUCUCCCUUCUCGNNAGCUCCCUCGACCCCACGAACCCUUGA